UACGUAGGGUGCAAGCGUUGUCCGGAAUUAUUGGGCGUAAAGAGCUCGUAGGCGGUUUGUUGCGUCGGCUGUGAAAUCCCGAGGCUCAACCUCGGGUCUGCAGUCGAUACGAGCAAACUAGAGUGUUGCAGGGGGAGACUGGAAUUCCUGGUGUAGCGGUGAAAUGCGCAGAUAUCAGGAGGAACACCGGUGGCGAAGGCGGGUCUCUGGGCAACAACUGACGCUGGAGGAGCGAAAAGCGUGGGGAGCGAACAGG
rnacentral:rRNA from 1 species